GGGACCUCGUUGGCUGAGCUUAGCGAAGGGGCCGGGUGCCUGUUUUUCGGCCCCUGUCGGUCAGCUCCUCCCCUGUGGACCCAUCUGGUGUUCACAGGGUACAGAGGUGUGAGUGUGAGUCUCCUCCCUCUCCACCCCUCCUCCUGGCCCGCAGUCUGCCUCGCAGGGCAGAGAACCAAGGAAAAGUCCCGCCAAACACCACUCUCUGGCACAUGAACGAAGCCCUGUGACCGCUGGAGAGAGCCCCCAGGCCCUUGUGCUGACGGGUGAGUCUCACGUCGGCCCCUGGCUCUGGGGAGCGAGGAGGAGGCCAGAGGCGGCUGGAAGGGGUUUCCACCGGUCCCGCGUUGCCUGGCCUGCUCCUGGCUUAUUUCUGCAAGGGCUCUGUGCCUCAGAAACAGCUGCCAAACUUCCUUGUCAUUUGCAAAGGAGACCUCGAGUCUCCUGUUGCCCUUUACGAUUUAUUACAGCUAUGUCAAUAAAUUGCCCCCACUUACUACCAAGUGCCCUUCAGGGACCUCGGCAGGGUGUAAGUGACCCCUACAGGAGGAAAUCUGCACUUCUCAGACAUUGCGCUGUGCUGGAGAUGCCGAUGAGAAAGCAGGUGCAAAGAGAUGAGAGGACUUGAGCGAGUGUGGAGCCCAAUGGUAUGAGAAUCCUAGCACUCUGGCAACUUCCGGUGAACGGGGACUCCUGCCAGCUGGAGAAGCUGUUGUGAGAGCUUUAUGCAUUUAUUCUACUUUGUCCCGGCCUGCGGGACGUAUCGGGCAGAGAACUCGAGCGAGGGGGCAGAGGUCUGGAACCUGCGCAGCGUCUCAGCACAGGAGCGAAAGAAGUGUCACAGCUCACACAGUGUCACAGCUCUUGAUGCUAAAAUUCCCAACGGUGAGAAGCAAGUUUAUUUAGUCAUUUCAAUUGUUUUGUGCAAAGAUCUGCUCAGCCGGACACCUGGAGCAUACUUUGAUAACGGUGAUGUAGAUGUUGACAAAAGCUUGAUAAUUCAAUAACUAUGCAAUGUGUCCUAUUUUUAAAAGAAAAUUUGGCUGGAGCCCAACUAAAGCUACAGAUAGAAUGCUGAAGAGGUUUCUUCUAAAAAAAAUAGUGAAAAAAAAAAAAAAAGGAUUCAAAACCCACCAGAUGAAAAACUGUGCUCCUGCUGGCAGUUCUGCCUGUGAUUGGCACUGUCUAGGUCACCCCCAGAACGGCACACCAUCCCUGUGGGCCUCAUCCCAUCUGUUUCUGUCUGUCCUGGCCCAGGGCCCACCAAUGUCCCAGGCCUGGGCUUCCUCUGUGAGUCAUUCUCAUGGCAGGGGUGACCCAUGCAGCGUCUCAGAGUGUCUUCGCUCCACACUUCAUCAUGAGCCUCAGCAUUCAUCCAGGAACCGCAAGAAGUGCGAAUAUUGUCCUGUGCCCAGUCAAAAGCUGUCCUCCAAAACAACAGUGCAAGAUGAGUUGUUUCCAGAACUAAAAAUAAAGCCAAAUGAAUGCAAUCGUAAGAUAUGCUGCUGGCCAGACUGGAUGCCUGAUGUCAGAGACAGCACUGAUACCCUGGAAACUGCUCAAGUCCCUCUACCCUCCGAGAGCAGGGCCGACAUUAGCUGGGGCUGAGGGUAAGGACCACCCAUCCCACCUGCUUCUCUGUGCCCUCUUAUCUCUGGAAGCCCCCAGGGAAGAGCUGGACUGGCUCCACCGUAGGUAGAAUGGGCAACCGUCAUGCUGCACAGAAAGUGAUGGGAGAGCUCCCAGGUCCCUUUUGAAUCCCAAGAGUCCUGGUAGCUCCACAACUGCCCCCCGAAGUUUGCCUGGUCAUGUCGCUAAGCCUGGCUAGAGGCACUCCAGCUGAACAGUGCAGUGAGAAGUACUCUGUAUUUUUACAUACCUAAAAUGUGUGCCCUACUUGGCCGGGUGACUAGAAAUACCAGCUCACAGGAGCUGGGACUUGCUAGGACCAUUCCUUCUGCAGAUAUUUCGAAUGUAAGGGAAGAACUUUGAAAACCAAAUUCUUAGAGCUAUCAAGAAGAUACAGGGACCAGCAGUUAGCAUAACGGCUAUGUCACUGAACUCCCAUGUAGUCGACCACAG